rnacentral:rRNA from 1 species
UACAGAGGGUGCGAGCGUUAAUCGGAAUUACUGGGCGUAAAGCGUGCGUAGACGGUAGCGUAAGUCAGAUGUGAAAGCCCCGGGCUCAACCUGGGAACUGCAUUUGAGACUGCUCUGCUCGGGUGCGGAAGAGGGAAGCGGAAUUUCCGGUGUAGCGGUGAAAUGCGUAGAUAUCGGAAGGAACACCGGUGGCGAAAGCGGCUUCCUGGUCCGACACCGACGUUCAGGCACGAAAGCGUGGGGAGCAAACAGG